UGGCUCAGUUGGUAGAGCAUGGUUUUUGCAACGCCAGCAUGGUGUGUGUGCAACGCCAGGGUUGUGGGUUCAAUUCCCAC
rfam:Salmo salar isolate Sally breed double haploid chromosome ssa03, whole genome shotgun sequence.